UACGUAGGGUGCAGGCGUUAAUCGGAAUUACUGGGCGUAAAGCGUGCGCAGGCGGUUUGCUAAGAGAGAUGUGAAAUCCCCGGGCUUAACCUGGGAACUGCGUUUCUAACUGGCAGGCUUGAGUGUGGCAGAGGGGGGUGGAAUUCCACGUGUAGCAGUGAAAUGCGUAGAGAUGUGGAGGAGCACCGAUGGCGAAGGCAGCCCCCUGGGCUAACACUGACGCUCAUGCACGAAAGCGUGGGGAGCAAACGGG
rnacentral:rRNA from 1 species